UUGGCUCCUGCUCCAGAGGCCACACCACCACUAGAGCCCUAGAACCCAGGAGAAGAGAGUCCUGACCAGGCUAGUCUAUCUUCCACCUUCCCCCAUGCAGGGUUGUAGGGGAAGCUCACCCCAAAAAUGAUCUAACGUGUGGUGCCUGGGAAAGUGGUCAUCAACCAGGGCAGCCAGACUCUGGGUGACUGAGACUCUAAGUCCCACCCUACCUACCUUGCUAAGACAUUGCCAGGCAGAGCCAUUCCUAAGAACACCUAAGGACUGGAAGCCUGGUUCUGGCCCAUCCCUGCCUCAGUGGAUGUCCUGAAGGCCAGAGAGAGAGGUUCCUGGUUGCCAAGGAAUCUUCUGCUUCAGGCCAGGGAGUCAAAGGAUGAUGGCACACAGAGCCACACACCACGCACAUCUGUUCUGGGUCUGCCAUUGUCCCGGGUCAUAAGGGCCUGCCUGCCUUCCCAGGGGAGAGUGAACUGUGGUCUGCCUCAGAGACCUGCUUCUCCUUUCCGCCCUUGUUCUUAGGAAUUCCUGCCUGCCUGCUGUCUCACUUAACCUCUCUUGCUCUAUCUUCACCCCCUUUCCUCUCUGAGUCAUUAAAGGCUGACUUUCUUCCAGCCUGGUACUCAUCCGGCUCUUUGCAGUUUGCCAAAAACCUUCAUUCCCACGUCAUUUCCCACUGGAUCCCAGGGCCCUCUUGUUGUCAGUGUGCAGAUAGCAGAGGUCUGGGAAUAGGAAGCUCCAGUGAGUGGCAGCUUCCAGGACCUCAGGCCUGGCCAUACCCCACUGCUCAUCCCCCUCCAGAUCUGCUUGUCCUCUGGUCUCAGGUCAAGGGCCCUUUGUGGCCACAGGAGCACUAUGGUCGUUUUGCAAGCACACCUUAGGUGAGUUAGCCAGGAGCCACAUCUUUCUGUGUCAGAGCCUUCCACUGGGCUGUGCAGUGCCCUCUGUUGUUCCUCUGAGAUGCCCCUGCCUCAGUUUCCCCUCUCAUUUGGCUUCGGCUGCCCUCUCCAGGCACAGCCUUUGGAACUCACUCUAGCAAUACCACCGGACUAGUUAGCCUUCCCGGCCCCAAGACACUCGCAGUUUCAUGCCUUUGUGCCUUUCGCUCAUGCGGUUUCUUCAGCUGGAAUGCCUUCCCGCUCCUGCCGCCUCCUCUGCCUGGCAAACACCUGUUAGCCUCUCCCAGGCCCCUCCCCCAGGAAGGCACCCUUCACCCCUCUCUUCCAGGCUACCUCUGCACCUGUAAAUGCUUCUCUCGUGGCACCUAUCACACCGUACUUUACUUGUUUACAUGUUUGUCUCCCCUUCUAGACUGUGAAUCCUUAAGGGCAUGGACUGUAUCUUAUGCAUCUCUGUAUUUCUGCGCCUAGCACGGUGCCUGGCACACAGUAGGCGCUCAAUAAAUGUUGAAUGAAUGAU
rnacentral:lncRNA from 1 species